rnacentral:rRNA from 1 species
AUACGGAGGGUCCAAGCGUUAUCCGGAUUCAUUGGGUUUAAAGGGUCCGCAGGCGGGAAAAUAAGUCAGUGGUGAAAGCCUACAGCUCAACUGUAGAACUGCUAUUGAAACUGUUUUUCUUGAGUAUAGAUGAAGUGGGCGGAAUAUAUCAUGUAGCGGUGAAAUGCAUAGAUAUGAUAUAGAACACCGAUUGCGAAGGCAGCUCACUAAACUAUUACUGACGCUCAGGGACGAAAGCGUGGGGAGCGAACAGGAUUAGAUACCCUGGUAGUCC